AAGAUAUUAGUAAAUAAUUAUACUGCCUUGUCAAGGCAAAGUCGUAGGUUAAACCCCUGCAUAUCUUA
rnacentral:tRNA from 1 species